UACAGAGGUCUCAAGCGUUGUUCGGAUUCAUUGGGCGUAAAGGGUGCGUAGGCGGCGAGGCAAGUCUGGUGUGAAAUCCCGGGGCUCAACCCCGGAACUGCACUGGAUACUGCUUUGCUAGAGUACUGGAGAGGGAACUGGAAUUUACGGUGUAGCAGUGAAAUGCGUAGAUAUCGAGAGGAACACCUGUGGCGAAAGCGAAUCUCUGGACAGUUCCUGACGCUGAGGCUCGAAGGCUAGGGUAGCGAAAGGG
rnacentral:rRNA from 1 species